rnacentral:rRNA from 1 species
GACGGAGGAGGCUAGCAUUGUUCGGAAUUACUGGGCGUAAAGCGUACGCAGGUGGCGAAGCAAGUCGGAUGUGAAAGCCCGGGGCUCAACCCCGGAUGUGCAUCCGAUACUGUUUUGCUGGAGUCCGGAAGAGGAGAGCGGAAUUCCCAGUGUAGAGGUGAAAUUCGUAGAUAUUGGGAAGAACACCGGUGGCGAAGGCGGCUCUCUGGUCCGGUACUGACACUCAAGUACGAAAGCGUGGGGAGCAAACAGG